GAUGAACGCUGGCGGCGUGCUUAACACAUGCAAGUCGAACGGAAAGGCCCAAGCUUGCUUGGGUACUCGAGUGGCGAACGGGUGAGUAACACGUGGGUGAUCUGCCCUGCACUUCGGGAUAAGCCUGGGAAACUGGGUCUAAUACUGGAUAGGACCACUUCUUGGAUGUUGUGGUGGAAAGUUUUUUCGGUGUGGGAUGAGCUCGCGGCCUAUCAGCUUGUUGGUGGGGUAAUGGCCUACCAAGGCGUCGACGGGUAGCCGGCCUGAGAGGGUGUACGGCCACAUUGGGACUGAGAUACGGCCCAGACUCCUACGGGAGGCAGCAGUGGGGAAUAUUGCACAAUGGGCGCAAGCCUGAUGCAGCGACGCCGCGUGGGGGAUGACGGCCUUCGGGUUGUAAACUCCUUUCGCUAGGGACGAAGCGUUUUGUGACGGUACCUGGAGAAGAAGCACCGGCUAACUAGGUG
rnacentral:rRNA from 1 species